rnacentral:rRNA from 1 species
CGGGAAAAGCUCAAAUUUGAAAUCUGGCGUCUCCGGCGCCCGAGUUGUAUUCUGGAGAAGCGUUUUCCGUGCCGGACCGUGUACAAGUCCCUUGGAACAGGGCGUCAUAGAGGGUGAGAAUCCCGUCUUUGACACGGACCACCGGUGCUCUGCGAUGCGCUCUCGAA